UACGUAGGGGGCAAGCGUUGUCCGGAUUUAUUGGGCGUAAAGAGCGUGUAGGCGGCCAUACAGGUCCGUUGUGAAAACUCGAGGCUCAACCUCGAGACGUCGAUGGAAACCGUAUGGCUAGAGUCCGGAAGAGGCGAGUGGAAUUCCUGGUGUAGCGGUGAAAUGCGUAGAUAUCUGGAGGAACACCGGUGGCGAAGGCGGCAUCCUGGACCGACAUUGACGCUGAGGCGCGAAAGCCAGGGGAGCAAACGGG
rnacentral:rRNA from 1 species